GGAGGAAAGCAGGGGAUCGCAAGACCUUGCGCUAAAGGAGCGGCUGAUGUCUGAUUAGCUAGUUGGUGAGGUAAAGGCUCACCAAGGCAACGAUCAGUAGUUGGUCUGAGAGGACGGCCAACCACACUGGGACUGAGACACGGCCCAGACUCCUACGGGAGGCAGCAGUGGGGAAUUUUGGACAAUGGGCGAAAGCCUGAUCCAGCCAUGCCGCGUGAGUGAAGAAGGCCUUCGGGCUGUAAAGCUCUUUUAGUCGGAAAGAAAAGAUCAUAAUGAACAAUUAUGAUUCAUGACGGUACCGACAGAAAAAGCACCGGCUAACUACGUGCCAGCAGCCGCGGUAAUACGUAGGGUGCGAGCGUUAAUCGGAAUUACUGGGCGUAAAGGGUGCGCAGGCGGUUUUGUAAGUCAGAUGUGAAAUCCCCGGGCUUAACCUGGGAAUUGCGUUUGAAACUACAAAGCUAG
rnacentral:rRNA from 1 species